UUAACAUUUACAUAGCCAUAGGACAAUUAUCAAAACAAAGAAAUUAACGUUGGUGGGAUGCCUGGAUGGCUCAGUCAGGUAAGCGUCCUACUAUUGGUUUCAGCUCAGGUUUUGAUGUCACAGUUAAUGAGUUCUAUCCUCACAUCAGGCUCUGCACUGAUGGUGUAGAGCCUGCUUGAAAUUGUCUGUCUUGUCUCUGACCCUCCCCUGCCAUGCAUGCUUUCUCUCUCUCUCUCUCUCUCUGUCUC